rnacentral:lncRNA from 1 species
UCUCUCUCUCUCUCUCUCUCUAUACACGCGAUUUCUUUCCCCUUUUUGAGAGAGACGGCGGCAGCGGCAUCUCUCCACUCUCUCAUGCUCUUCUUCGGCUUUGCCUUGGGCAGACCAAAGGGCGAUCAUCUCUCCUUCCUAAACCCUACUGGUUGGCGGCGAGCGUUCUAGGGUUAGGGUUUCCUCGCUUUUGUUCCCUCUCUUCUCUCCAGUCCACUGCAAGCGGGGGCCUUUCUUGUUUCCUUCUCCUGUUCCUAAGCGGGGGAAGCUAGGGUUUUUAUCUUGCGGAGGGAGAUGGCGCAGGGGAAUCGGGAGAGCGGGACCGUGAGCUGGUUCAACAGCCAGAAGGGGUUCGGGUUCAUUAAGCCUGACUCCGGCGGCGAGGACCUCUUCGUCCAUCAGACCUCCAUCCGUUCCGAUGGCUUCCGAGUCCUCUCCGAGGGGGACGCGGUCGAGUUCGUGAUCGAAGAGGGCGAGGAUGGGAGAUCUAAGGCCGUUGACGUCACCGGGCCCAACGGCGCCUUCAUUUCUUCAUCCGGCGGUGACAGGGGUUUCUCCGCUGGAAGGGCGAGAGGAGGUGGGGAUUAUUACGGCGGGAGCGGCGGUGGGGGCGGCUACGGCGGUGGUGGGGGUGGCUACGGCGGUGGUGGGGGCGGAUACGGUGGUGGUGGGUACGGGGGGGGCGGCUUCGGCGGGGCUUUUGGUGGCAGCUGGGGUGGUGGAAGAGGUGGGAGGAUGAGCGGCGGCGGUGGUGGAGGAUACGGUGGUGGCGGCGGUGGAGGUUGCUACAACUGCGGGCAGCCUGGCCAUAUGGCUAGGGAUUGCCUGCAAGGGGGUGGCACUGGUGGCGGCGGUGGCGGUGGAGGGGGGACGUGUUAUAACUGCGGGCAGCCUGGGCAUCUGGCGAGGGAAUGCAGCCGAGGGGGUGGCGGCGCGGCGUGUUAUAACUGUGGGGAAACUGGUCACCUGGCCAGAGACUGUCACCUAGGAGGUGGUGGUAGUCGCUUUUCCGGCGCUGGUGGUGGAGGGGGAGGGGGAGGGGGAUGCUUUCACUGUGGGAAGCCGGGACAUUUCGCGAGGGAGUGCCCUAGCAACGCCUAGACGUAGCAUAUCGUGAGCUCUAUUCAUCCUUCCCCUCGUCGGGAUUUCCAGCACCAUAGAUUUUUUUUCCUGGAUAUUUCAGUUCUAUUGGCAAUGUGCUAGGAAAUUUUCUCCUCGUUUAGUGAUCUGUCUCCAUUUUUUUUAAUUAUAUUAUUGACGUUUUUAACCUAACUCAAACUGAAAUCAUUUGUUCUGCCGUGGGCCUAUUUUGAUUUUUAGUGAACAGUGCCAUCCCUGGAUAAAUCUCUGUAACCCACCUUCUCCUGAAAUUUCUUAACAAGAUGCUUCCAUCUGUUAUUUUCCAAGCUUUUGAAUCAAGAGCUGCGAAUUAGAUGUUGGAUCACAAGCUAUCUUAUUUAUAGCAUCAUUUAACUGGAUGAUGAUUACGUAGUUGCUUGCUGUGAUUACAAUACGUUUUAGUUGGCAAGUUAUUGCUCAAGUUAGGAUUAUGGUUAUGAACUAUUUUAUUUCAGUCCCGCAUAAUAUUUUGUGAUUUGAUGGCAGGCGACUUUCUGUUGCUGCAGUGCUUUACAGUGGACUGUUAAUAGCUAGAACUCUAUGCAUGAACUGUUCUUGUCUAAAAGCUGCAUAGUAUUGCAUCGGGAAUCUCUUGAAUGUGUACCGUAUUCUGAUCAUGAAUAGGACUUUUUUUUUCUUCUGUGGCAGCCGAUUCAUGGGGGAUUUGAUUGUUGAUUAUUGCGAUCGACCUGAUUUCUUGUGGGCCUCUGAUUAAUCAAGUGGGGUUUCCGAUGGUAAAGUUAUAGUAAAAUUGAAUUAAUUGUCACAGGAAUCAUGAAAGAUACUAAAUUACCACAGUAAAAAUAUGUUAUUACUGAUUUGAAAAUACUGAAUGCUUUGACUGCCCACUUUUUGUUAGUGGAGUGCUUUGUUGUGGAUUGCCGAUCAUUUUAGUGGCGAGGACUCUAAAUAUGACCGAUAUUUUUUUUCUCAUACUUUGACCAAGCUAGGGUUUCGAUUGUGUGCAAAUUAGCGAUAAAUUUUAUCAUGAAAUAGUUCUAUUUGCAACCCUUUCUGAUCUGCUGCUGAUUUGCCAAGUUAGGAUUCUAACUGUAGAACAGGGAGCAGAGAAAUAAUAAGAUUCACUAUCUGGCACCAUAUGAUCAAAAUAUCAAAAGGGUCGAGCUUUGUUCAGCUUUUAAAUAUGUGGGCACAACUUUUAUUUUGUUUUUUUUCUGGUUCUUGCUUCCGCUGGAUCUAUUCAGGAACAUCGGAGAGGGAGCCGACGUAAAUUCAUUGCUUCCAGAUUGGCAUAUAUGGUGGAUUAGAACGUAUCUUGAAUCUCAUUAACCUGAAAUCUGUUCUCUAAGUUUCUUGAUGGUGAUUUUGGUUGUAGAGCAUGUGAUGGCCAAGCUUGAAGGGAGAUGAUUCAUGAUGAUCGAGUGGUGGCUACUACUGAUCGAGUAGAUGAUUCUGGCUUCACUCGUCCGGCCAUCUGGGGGUUGAUGUGAUGGUUCAAGAGAAUGCUUUCCAAAAAUCGGCGUGUGGAAUGUGUUCAUAAUAUGCUCAGAGAUUUGAAAUAAUUCCAGUGAUCGGUAGCUUGGCACUUGUGUUGGAGACUUUUCAUGGUCCAUGAAUCGCUUGUUUUUUGUCUGGAGACGGUCUCUUUUCUCUGUUGCUGCCCUCGUGUGGUUCAGCUACUCUUGUCCUCUGCCCCUUCCACAUUAGCCUGGAUAUCUCUCGUUGUUUCUCCCCUUCCUUCAUGUUUUAUGAGCGAUAGACAGAUAGAUGGAGAGAGAGAAGGAGAGAGAGAGAGAGAGAGAGAGAGAGAGAGAGAAGAGAGAGAGAGGUGAUUCUGUGGUUUACCCUUCAUGUUUUAUGAUAGAGAUAGAGAGAGAGGGGGUUGUACACUGAGCCUAUGUUGUGUUUUUCUGUGGUAUAGUGAGAAGGAAAUUAGAGGGAAGAAGGUGAUGAAGUACUAAUUAGUCGGAAGUUUCUCACAAGAGUGUUCAUAAGUCUGGGAUUUCCCCUUCCUCGAGGAGCCCAUCGCAGAAGGCGGCCAUCGCCACCGCUUCUCCCGCUCCGCCGCCCUCGCCGAAAUCCCCGUCUAGGCAGAGGAAAUCGUCUGGGUUCAUCUCCCCGAUCAGAUCGGAGUAAGCGUCCCUCAGUUCCUGCUCGAAGUCGAAGCACCCAUCGACGGAGCUGCUGGUCGGUGGCGCCGACGUCCCCACCGCCGGCGCAGAGCCGGCCCCGAGAUCGAGGACUCGCGUGCCGUCGCAGGCGUCGUCGUCUUCGGGUUCCUCCUCCCGGAAGAAGACGCCGCCGCCGCCGCCCUCCGGGCUACGCCGCCCGUCGGCGGCCUCUUCGCUGUGGGAGGGUGGCGGCGAGCCCUUGAUGACAUCCACCUCGAAGUCGUGGCUCUGCGUCGGGAGGUAGACGAGGACGACGGGGUACUCCAGCACGGUGACGUUCGCCAUCUGCGGGCCCAUGGGAGCCGCCGGAUCCAGUUGGAGAAAGGGGGAC